CUCAGAUUCCAGACACCUCGUAAACACCUGAACAGGCCCCAGGGGACAGCAGCCUCUGAUUGCACCGAGGCCAGCAGGACAGCUGGGGGGCACCAGUGACCUUGCCGACGUGCAGAAAUCUGCCUCUUCUGUGUCACAUGAAGGCAGCUGCUGAGGAUCCUCCAGAGCCCAAGGAGCAAGGUCUCCAAAGCUCAAGUGUGAACCGGAUGAUCUACCAGGCUUUGUGAAUCCAGCCAUGUCCCCUGCAGCCUUACACUGGAAUGCUCCCCAUGUGGAGCAAAGGAAUAUUUGGAAUGACUUUCUAUUGAUCACCUUGCUCCAGUUCCAAGACAAUAAAAGUCCUCAUCUUGAAAUCGCUCCCUUGUUGUCUGGCCUGACUGUCCUAGGGGAUGGGACCAAGGUGAUCCCUGCCACAAGACCACGCUGUCAGGGUGCAGUGCAGGGGACACCCAGCAAAACAUGCCUUGAGUUGAGUUGUGCAGUCCACAUCCUCACCGCUGGUGUCUGAGUCAUGACCAUAGUGGGAGGAGAAGGUGGGCAGCUAACGAUGGCUUUUCACAGACGAACAGGGCCUAGUCUCGGUCAAAGUCGCCCUAGAUGCUUUUCUUUAUGGGUGACCACCGAGCUGGGCUCUGACACUUGGGGGGGAAGAUAGAGGAGUGUCCAUGCAAUGAACUCUCAGGCAUUAACUUCACCUGAGGACUUCAUACUAAAAACAAACAAAACACACGCAAACUUGGUCUUCCAGCUCCCUCCACAGGAAGUGCCAAGUCAUUGGGGAGUCACACAGGUUACA